rnacentral:misc_RNA from 1 species
CUGAAUUGUAAACAUGAGUUGUUGCUGGCCCUCAAACGGGGGCAUAUGUGCACGCUCUGUUCACACAUCCACUCACACCUGUGCACCCUCCGUAGUUCUGUGGCCUGGGGGCCUGUCCUCCUGCCGUGGUUCUAUGUCUUUACACACACACACUGUAACGAAGUCUUAUGGAAUGUAUGCCGCGUUUAACGCAAUACAAUA